rnacentral:rRNA from 1 species
GGUGAGUAACGCGUAGGUAACCUGCCUGGUAGCGGGGGAUAACUAUUGGAAACGAUAGCUAAUACCGCAUGACAACAGUUAUUGCAUGAUAGCUGUUUAAAAGGGGCAACUGCUCUACUACCAGAUGGACCUGCGUUGUAUUAGCUAGUUGGUGAGGUAACGGCUCACCAAGGCGACGAUACAUAGCCGACCUGAGAGGGUGAUCGGCCACACUGGGACUGAGACACGGCCCAG